rnacentral:rRNA from 1 species
GACGAACGCUGGCGGCGUGCUUAACACAUGCAAGUCGAACGGAAAGGCCUGCUUUCCCUUGUGGAUUGCGGGUACUCGAGUGGCGAACGGGUGAGUAACACGUGGGUGAUCUGCCCCCAACUUGGGUAUAAGCCUGGGAAACUGGGUCUAAUUCCCGAUAGGACUGCAGGGUGGUGCCUGUGGUGGAAAACGAUUUUCUAGUGGUUGGGGAUGGGCUCGCGGCCUAUCAGCUUGUUGGUGGGGUAAUGGCCUACCAAGGCGGCGACGGGUAGCCGGCCUGAGAGGGUGGACGGCCACAUUGGGACUGAGAUACAGCCCAGACUCCUACGGGAGGCAGCAGUGGGGAAUAUUGCACAAUGGGCGGAAGCCUGAUGCAGCGACGCCGCGUGGGGGGUGACGGCCUUCGGGUUGUAAACUCCUUUCGACCGCGAGGAAGCCACCUGGUUGGAAGGGUGGUGACGGUAGUGGUAGAAGAAGCACCGGCUAACUACGUG